rnacentral:rRNA from 1 species
GGGAUCAUUACCGAGUUUACAACUCCCAAACCCAAUGUGAACGUUACCAAACUGUUGCCUCGGCGGGAUCUCUGCCCCGGGUGCGUCGCAGCCCCGGACCAAGGCGCCCGCCGGAGGACCAACCAAAACUCUUUUGUAUACCCCCUCGCGGGUUUUUAUAUCUGAGCCAUCUCGGCGCCUCUCGUAGGCGUUUCGAAAAUGAAUCAAAACUUUCAACAACGGAUCUCUUGGUUCUGGCAUCGAUGAAGAACGCAGCGAAAUGCGAUAAGUAAUGUGAAUUGCAGAAUUCAGUGAAUCAUCGAAUCUUUGAACGCACAUUGCGCCCGCCAGUAUUCUGGCGGGCAUGCCCGUCCGAGCGUCAUUUCAACCCUCGAACCCCUCCGGGGGGUCGGCGUUGGGGAUCGGCCCUUUACGGGGCCGGCCCCGAAAUACAGUGGCGGUCUCGCCGCAGCCUCUCCUGCGCAGUAGUUUGCACACUCGCAUCGGGAGCGCGGCGCGUCCAUUGCCGUAAAACACCCAACUUUCUGAAAUGUUGACCUCGGAUCAGGUAGGAAUACCCGCUGAACUUAAGCAUAUCAAUAAGCGGAGGAA